GGGUAUUUGGCACAGUGGUAGCGCGCACGCUUCGCAUUCGUACUCAGAAUCUGCGUGAGGUCCAGAGUUCAAGUCUCUGAUUAUCCA